rnacentral:lncRNA from 1 species
GCGCCUAUACCUCCCCCCUGAGCGCUCCUCUUCCCCCCGGUCGAACCCUAGCCGUCACUUGUUCCCCCUCGCGCCGUUUCUCGCCCGCCUGCAUACACCCGAAGCUACUGUCGCCGCGCCAUCGUCACCGUCGCGGCCACCGUCGUCUCCUUCACGCGGCAGGACGUCCAGGAGGACCGCGGCCGUCGGCUUCGUCCGUACCGGGCAUCAGCUCAAGCCGGGGCAGCUCGUACGCUCGCCAUCGCUGUCUUCUUCAUCGCGUACAUCGUCGGCCGCCGUCGUUGAUUCCCACCACUUCGGUCCACCCCCGGCUUCCUCGUCUGCGCAACCGAGCUCGCCGUGAGCUCCUCUUCCAAAACCCUCUCUCCCCCUCUCGAUUUCGUCGCCAUAGCCGCCGUCCCUGAGAUCGUCCGAGCUCCCGCGUACGCGUACGCGUACGUGGUGCUCCUGCCCAUGGCCACACCUGCUUGCUGCUGCCGCACGUUUGGGCCACGCCCUGGCUGCGCUCGCUCGCCUCCGGCCUCGCCUAGCUGCGCCCUGGCCAUGCCCCCUGCGCCUCGCCCGCGCCUGGCCUCGAGGUCGUCUACUGCUGCGCCCGCUGUUGACCCUGUCCGCCGCCGCCGUUCGCGCCCGCCGGGGCCGCGCCUGCCUUCGCCCGGUCGUGUCGGCGUUACCCCGCAGCAUCCCGCUCUCACCGCCGCGUGCUGAUGCUUGCUGCUGCGUACUGCUCUUGGUCCUGCUGCUGCCGCUUGUAGAUGUUCUGCUCCUGCCCGUGCUACUUCGCCUAUCACUGCUCCUCUGCUUGCUGCUUCUGCUUCCGCGGCGGCCUAACGUGCUGCUGCUUUCUUCUACUAGCUAUUGCUGCUGCUCGAUGCUUGCCGCUGCGUUGCUUGCUACUGCUGCUCAUACUCUGGUGCUACACUGCCUUGCUAGCCAUCGUUGUUGCUGCUCUAUGGCUGCAGCCGUGUGUGCGUAUGUGUUGUGUAUGGCCGGCUUAAUUGUAGGCCUAAUUAGUUUAGGCUAAUUUAGAUUACUUAGGUAUUCUUUUUUAGGUUAGUUGCUAGUCUAUGGAAAGUGGGACCCCCCUCCAUUAUUUUACUUAGAUGAUUUAUUGACACAUGUGUCAGUGACAUGUGGGCCACCACCUCCGCUUUUGAACAGUCAAUUUGACUUGGCCAAGUCGGAUUAAAAUUUGAACACAAAAUUACGGGUUAUUGUUAAAAUUUUGAAAAAUCAUAUAAAAUAAUUUGUAGCUCGCAUGAAAAAGGUUUAUACAUGAAAGUUGCUCAGAACAACGAGACGAAUCCGGACACACGGUCCGUUCGUCCGCCACAUGUACCUAGCAUAACAAACGUUGAACCUUUCCCCUCCGGUUCAUCUGUAUGACAGACGUCCGGAACCGGGAAAACUUUCCCGGAUGCUAUCCCCCUUUACCGGUAUCGCGUAGCACUGCGUUAGAACACCUCUAGCACCACUUAUUGUCUUGUUAUGCAUAUGUUUGCGUGUAUUUACUGUUUCUUCCCCCUCUUCUCUCCGGUAGACCCCGAGACCGCUGCUGAUGUCCCUGUGAUCGACUACGUCGACGACAACCCUUCUUCCCUUUUCAGCGGAGCUUCCAGGCAAGCCCCCCCCCUUUGAUCAUCCCGAUAACGCUCAUUCCAUUCUCUCAUGCUUGCAUUAGAUUUUGCUAUUGUAAUUGAUUGCUCCUAUUCUGAUGCUUAGCCUGCUUUUGUAACCUGCUCAUUGUACCUUACCUGCUUAUCCUAAACUGCUUAGUACAGGUUGGUUAGUGAUCCAUCAGUGACCCCCCACCAUGUCCUUGUUGCCCUGCUUCAUCAUCGACGACUCGAUCAGCGUAAUCGACGACCAGAGCCCGACACCUCACAUCACAUCAUGCCCCUUUUGUUGCUCGACUCUGCAGAGCUACUAUCGAAUGCCGAGGGUGAUCCCUCAUAACGCACUCAUGAUGAUAAUUCUGUAGUGUAGCUAUUCGGUCGUGGUCAUCGAGGGUGAUUUCCUCUUUCACCAUUCCCGAUACGGCUCUGUCAUUCAACACCUCAAGUGUGAACCUCGAGGGUGGUCCCUCUUUCACCUUGAUGAUUACAUUGAGUGGAAUCCACCGGGCGUGAUUCCUCGGGUUUUCCCCUUGAUGUCUGGACACACAGUUACCUUGACUUUACUUGAGACCAUUGUUGAAGUCGGGUCGGCCCUGAGGGGUACCCGCGAGUUGAUGUGAAAGUCGGGCGGGCCCGUAGAGCACCCAUGAGUUUUCCACGUGGCACGGCCGCGCAGUCUGGGCCCUUGCCGCAAGUCCAUGAGACGGGGAGACGGGGUCACCUUAUCGUGAGUCGUUUCUGCGAGCCCCCAAUGCACUAAUAGGUUUGGGUAUUUGUUCUGAGUUGGCCUCUGGCCUUUACGCACUAACCACCACGCGAGAAUAGGUAUGGGCCUCAGCGUCGUGGUAUCAGCCGAAGCUUUGUCAGACGUCCAGUUCAGCAGUGCGGCACGGCUGGGCCAGCACCAUCCUGUAGUGAUGGAGCCUGGACCCGCCCUGUAUGCAACGAUCCAGAGUGCAACGGGCGAUGGGCCCAGACCCCGGAGUGCUUAGGAUGUAGACCGGCGGGGACCUCUCUGCUGAGCCUAGGUGGGCUGCGACGUGUUGAUCUUCUGAGGCUGGGCAUUGACCCUAGAAAGGUGUCCGGCCAGAGUGAUCGAGCGUGUUGGGUACGUGGUGCACCCCUGCAGGGAAGAUAUAUAUUCGAAUACCGUGUCCGCAGUAAUGGACGUUCAGACUUAUAUCUUGAUCUUAUAUAACUAGAAAUGGAUACUUGAGAUAUGUGAUGGAUAUGUGGCUCCGAGAUUGCUUUCUCGCAGGGAGUCGAGGAAGGAUCUCUGGGCGUUGAUGUUACAACAUGUUUGUUAAAUAUUAAAUUGCUAUUUUUUACUCUUCUACAUGCUGCAAGAUGCUCGGAGCUGCUUGAAGAUGUUAGUCUUCGAUAGGCUAGGCCUUCCCCCUCUAUUCUGGCAUUCUGCAGUUCAGUCCACAGAUACAAACCUUCCAUUUGAUACCAAUGCAUACUUAGUAUAGAUCUGAUGCUUGCGAGUACUUUGGAUGAGUACUCACGGUUGCUUUGCUACCCCUUUUCCCCCUUCUUUCUUCUUUCCGGUUGAUGCAACCAGAUGGUGGAUCCCUAGAGCCAAAUGCCACCGCCGAUGGAUGCUGUUACGUGAAGACCGCCGAAGACCAGGAGUAGUUAGGAGGUCCCAGGCAGGAGGCCUUGCCUCUUCGAUCGUGUUGCUUUUGUGCUAGCCUUCUUAAGGCAUCCUUGUUAACCUUAUGUCUGUACUCAGAUAUUGUUGCUUUUGCUGACUCUUGUGUAUCGAGCUAUGUAUUCGAGCCCUCGAGGCCCCUGGCUUGUAAUAUAAAGCUUGUAUUAUUUUAUUUGUGUCUAGAGUUGUGUUGUG